GAUGAACGCUGGCGGCGUGCUUAACACAUGCAAGUCGAACGGGAACCCUUUUAUUGACGCUUCGGCAGAUUUAGCUGGGUUCUAGUGGCCGACGGGUGAUUAACGCGCGUGUAACCUGCCUUAUACAGGGGUAUAACAGUCAGACAUGGCUGCUAAUACCGCAUAAGCGCACACAGCUGCAUUGCCCAGUUCGAAAAACUCCGGUUGGAUAAGAUGGACCCGCGUUGUAUUAGCUGGUUGGUAGGGUAACGGCCCCCCAAUGUGACGAUCCAUAGCCCGCGUGAGAGGGUGAGCGGACACAUUGGGGCUAGGACACGGCGCAGACUCCUACGCGAGGCAGCAGUGGGGAAUAUUGCACAAUGGGGGAAACCAUGAUGGAGCGACGCCGCGUGAAGGAAGAAGUAUCGCGGGAUGUAGCCUUCUAUCAGAAGGGAGGAUAAUGACGGUACCUGAAGAAGAAGCCCCGGCUAACUACGUG
rnacentral:rRNA from 1 species